UAGCUGCCGUUGGGGCAGCUAGUUAGGUUCUAUAUAGUUGUGAUCUGUGAGUCAGCGUCGGGCUGUCGUUGCGACAGGUCCGUUACCAGGAACGAGUAAAGUUACUUGAACUGCAGAUACUGUGCAAGUGUUGUUUCUUUAGUCCUGUCAGACAUUCAGUGAUUGCGGGAACUCUUCAAUGUUAUUCUUGUUCGACUAACUCCAUAUCGGAUGUCUGCUCUACUGCUAAUGACCUUGCAAGCGGUUCCGGAGUAUCAACUGUUACAUGCUAUGAAGAACAGCGUUGUUGGACUGAUCAUUAUGAGAACUCAUCACACACGGUUGUGUCGCGUGGAUGCACAGAUGAGCCAUGUGAAAACUUGCAUAAAGGUGGUGGACCUUACUGCACUAUGGCUAAUAACGUUACCAGUUGCACAUCCUGUUGUACUGAGUCAAAUUGCAACGACAACAAAUCCAGCUCUGAGGGUCUCACUUGUAGCUGUGUGACAUGGCUGACAUCUCUUUUCUCAGUGGUCAUCAUGCUCAUCACUUAUAGAACCUAAAUAAAUUCAAAUUUCAAAAGCUGUUUCUAUUUUAAAAUUUAUUAUAACAGGCACAAAUUUGCCUAUUCAAUUCACAGUCAAAUUUUAAUUCUAAACCAUCAGUGUUUGCAAAAGUAAGUAACAGACUUGUGUUUUACAAAUAACUAUUGAUUGAAUAAAACAUUCAAUUGAAAAUAAUUGAAGUUUUCUCAAUUUUAGCUCUGGUAAUUUUUCUUCUAUAAUAUUGUACAUAUUUAUUAAUAGAAAAGUUUAGAAUGGCUUUAAUGUACUUUUUACAUUCAAAAUGUCUUAAAAUCCGUCCUGAAUUUUCUGCAUGAAGUUAUUCCUGAAAACACAUAGCGAGAUUAGCAUUUUUCAGGAAAAAUAACAUUUGAUGAUUUAAUUGGACAAGUUAAAUCUGUCAAAAAGAUGAAACAUAAAGAUUGUCAAGCGAACAAAACCCUUAAAAUGCAGAAAAAGACAUUAAAACUGAUAAAUAGUUUCUUGAAGUUUUCAACUUUGCUGUAGAUUUUGUGACCUUACCAAAUGUAAUAUAGACGAGUGGAAAU